rnacentral:rRNA from 1 species
CGCGUAGGUGGUAGUGUAAGUCUGGGGUGGAAUGCCGGGGCUUAACCCUGGAAUUGCCUUGGAAACUGCAUUACUUGAGUCAGUGAGGGGAGGGUAGAAUUCCUGGUGUAGCGGUGAAAUGCGUAGAUAUCAGGAGGAAGGCCUGUGGCGAAGGCGGCCCUCUGGUGCUGGACUGACACUGAGGCGCGAAAGCGUGGGGAGCAAACAGGAUUAGAUACCCUGGUAGUCCACGCCCUAAACGGUGGGCACUAGGUGUAGGGCUCGUAAGGGUUCUGUGCCGAAGGGAAACCAUUAAAGUGCCCCGCCUGGGGAGUACGGCCGCAAGGUUGAA